AUCCGGCUGACGAGUCUCAAAUAGGACAAAACGCGCGUUUUCGAU
rnacentral:hammerhead_ribozyme from 1 species